rnacentral:rRNA from 1 species
CGUAAACGAUGAGUGCUAAGUGUUAGGGGUUUCCCCCUUAGUGCUGCAGCUAACGCAUUAAGCACUCCGCUGGGGAGUACGACCGCAAGGUUGAAACUCAAAGGAAUUGACGGGGGCCCGCACAAGCGGUGGAGCAUGUGGUUUAAUUCGAAGCAACGCGAAGAACCUUACCAGGUCUUGACAUCCUUUGACAACUCUAGAGAUAGAGCUUUCCCUUCGGGGACAAAGUGACAGGUGGUGCAUGGUUGUCGUCAGCUCGUGUCGUGAGAUGUUGGGUUAAGUCCCGCAACGAGCGCAACCCUUAUUGUUAGUUGCCAUCAUUCAGUUGGGCACUCUAGCGAAACUGCCGGUGACAAACCGGAGGAAGGUGGGGAUGACGUCAAAUCAUCAUGCCCCUUAUGACCUGGGCUACACACGUGCUACAAUGGACAGUACAAUGAGCAGCGACACGGCGACGUGAAGCGAAUCUCAUAAAGCUGUUCUCAGUUCGGAUUGUAGGCUGCAACUCGCCUACAUGAAGCCGGAAUCGCUAGUAAUCGCGGAUCAGCACGCCGCGGUGAAUACGUUCCCGGGCCUUGUACACACCGCCCGUCACACCACGAAAGUUUGUAACACCCAAAGUCGGUGAGGUAACCUUCGGGAGCCAGCCGCCUAAGGUGGGAUAGAUGAUUGGGGUGAAGUCGUAACAAGGUAACCA